UCGAACAAAUAAUCUCUCGUCUCUUCUCUCCUUUUUCUCUAUUUGUUUUGCUCUCUCUUCCCUUCUCAUCUUUUUUUAGAUCCUCCUCAAAACCUUUUUUCCUUCCUUAUAGUCUUUUCCCGUCUCCCCCACACUUCAGAACUGCUUCCUAUCUUCCUGUCACCAUUCUUUCCAACAUAUGCCUUUAAUCUUAUGGCAAUUUGCGGGAUAUGGGCCUACUAUGGGCCGGCUCCGACCCAAGUUCUCAGACUCCGACUUAUUCGACCUAUUUGGCUGAUCUGACCUUACCGACCUAUCAACCAAAUCUUUUGAGAUCGGAUUCCGACCCUGCGCCAUGGACAAUACACAGCCCUCCCACUCUUUGCUGAACUAGUGAGGCUAAGAGUGGAUAUCCCUUCUGUAGUACAUGGUAUUCCUUAUUACUUGCCACGUGUCGCGCAUCAGGCGUAGCGUUUUAAAGAUGACCUUUUGUCUAGCCCGCGCUCAGAAAUGUCGUUUCAUUCUAACCUACCCCGCUACGUGUUGCGCAUCAAUGGCAUAUGCGUUGACACCUCCUAAGAUCAAUGGCUGGAUUUAAUUUGCUUUAAAGGAACCACUCCUAACUGUCCUUCUUCUUCCCAGGAAGCUUUACCCCAAAAACUUCUUUCUCUUUUUUACCACUCCGUCGCCCGGUCGUGAAUUUCUUUUAGCAGCCUUUCUUCAGACAUUUCCGUGAUCAUUCUCACUUCAGAGCGCUCAAGGUAUGCUUGAUUAAAUUUGAGAAGUAAUGUUGACUAUUCUUUGCUCACUUGAAUGCGAAUGCGUCUAUAAAAGUUUUUAUUGAAGUAUUCGCUUUCCUGCUUUUCGGAGAGAUUUAUGAAAGAAAGGCAUUAUUUCAUCUCUUGGUUGGUGACUGGAAAUCUUUUCCUAUUCUUUCCAUACUUUGCUCUUCGUAUGUGCUUCUUUGAUGUGUUUGUGUUCUCCUGUACGUUUGCCCUGAUCAUCUUGUGUUAAAACGUGUGGUGUGGUACUAGAUGUUUUGCUCUAACAAUUCUACUCAUGAACUAAAGGUUUAUUCUUUCUGAACUUGAGUAUGUUAUUGAGUUUAUGCGUGCAUGUGCUUUUUCUAGGUUUAAUAGGGUUACUGAAUUGAAAAACCUUGCUAAUUUUCUGCCCUAGUUUCCCUCGGAUCAAGCGACCUGUUUUACCUAUCUGAGAUGACUUCUUACAGCCCUCAAUAUCCCUGGGCCCCAAUGAACCUAAAAAGAGAAUAUAAUGGCCUUGGAACCGAAAAAAGGAUACAAGAUUUUAGGAGUAGGCAGGCUCUUUGUAGGAAUGACGAGAAGGAUGUCAUUGUUGGUUCUUGCGAGCUAGACGAACCAGUGUGUAGGGAUAGAACUUUCCCUCUUCCACAGAGGUUUACUUUUGUGUAUGUAACACUCUUUGAGAGACUUGGCGUUAGUCUCCCGUUUAAUGACUUUAAGAAGGAAAUCCUAACCUUACUUAAUGUAGCUCCAGCCCAAUUACAUCCCAAUAGUUGGGCCUUUGUUCGAGCUUUCCACAUAUUAUGUGUCAGUUUAGGCUUGAAUCCUACCCCUAAGGUGUUUUUCUAUUUCUUCGAGCUAAAGAGUAUAUCCUCCAAACAGUUGUGGGCUUCUCUAAGUGGUGUUAGUGGUCGGGGUUUGUUCACCCUAUUCCAAUCCUCUUAUAAAGGAUUUAAAGGUAUUUUCAUAAAGAUUCUUGCUCCUAGCCAUAACCCAACCUUGCUGGAUGGCUUCCCUUUAUAUUGGACCAUAUUUCCUACUCUCCAGACUGCUCGGCAAAUGGAAGACUUGAACCUUGUCGAGAGGAAAAGCUGUGAAACACUGGAAGGUUUAGAAGUUAUCUUCGACAUUCGUAAGAUCUAAGAGCUCGAGUGUCGGAAGGUAGACUUAAAAUUAUUCAUUGUCAGAUGGCCCUUUCUCAAAGAGACUUGCUUCGUCGGAUAAAACAACAAGGAUCAGGCAAAGCCGGCACUAGUGCUCGGACUCGACCUUCUCCCAUCAAAGUGAUCAUGGAGAGUGAUCCCGAGACCACCCAAAGUGACCCCAAGGCAAAGCGUAAGAGAGUUGAAUCUAAAGAAGGUGCUCCUACCCAAUCGGAGACUUCAGAAUCUCGUGACCGACCUCCCUCAACUGAAGUCGUCUUACCUGGGCGACCUCUUCCCUUAGCUCCUAACAAGAGUUUUUGGGGUGAGGGUUUUGACCAUGCUAAUCAAAACUGAUCUUGCAAACAUGGAAGAAAUUCGUAGAUCUUUAAAGGAUAAGGAGAUUAAGGUCAUUAACCUCAAAGCUGAGCUUGACGCCUUGAAACCAACAGCAGAAUCCAAUGAGGCUUUGGUGAAAGACUUGACCACAAAAUGUCAAGUGUUGGAAAAUGAGAAAGAAGAAUUUGUCGACCAAUUGUGUGCCACUUUGAAACAAGGAUUCCAGCUUGCUCUCGACCAAAUUAAAGUUUUGUAUCGUAACCUAGACGUUUCUAAAGUUGAUAUCACAAAGGAGGUCGUAGAGGGGCAACUGGUAAACAUUCCUGAUGUGUAAUGCUUUCCUUUUUGGUUUAUAGGGAAAAGUUAGGGUGACUUGGUUAAUUUGCAUAAGGUCUUUUUGGUUUUAUGUCUAUGGGAUAUUGAGACGUUCUAUGAGUUUUGUGUUUUAUCUUA